rnacentral:tRNA from 1 species
AGAGAGUUAGCAAAGUGGCUUAACGCGGCAGUCUCGAAAACUGUUAUACUUUUUUGAGUAUCAAGGGUUCGAAUCCCUUACUCUCUGCCA